UAAAAGUCGUAACAAGGUCUCCGUUGGUGAACCAGCGGAGGGAUCAUUACUGAGUUACCGCUCUAUAACCCUUUGUGAACAUACCUACAACUGUUGCUUCGGCGGGUAGGCCGUCCCCUGAAAAGGACGCCUCCCGGCCCGGACCGGACCCCCCGCGGGACCGGACCCGGCGCCCGCCGGAGGAUAACCAAACUCUAUUGUAACGACGUUUCUUCUGAGUGGCAUAAGCAAAAUAAUCAAAACUUUUAACAACGGAUCUCUUGGUUCUGGCAUCGAUGAAGAACGCAGCGAAAUGCGAUAAGUAAUGUGAAUUGCAGAAUUCAGUGAAUCAUCGAAUCUUUGAACGCACAUUGCGCCCGCCAGCAUUCUGGCGGGCAUGCCUGUUCGAGCGUCAUUUCAACCCUCAAGCUCUGCUUGGUGUUGGGGCUCUACGGUCGACGUAGGCCCUCAAAGGUAGUGGCGGACCCUCCCGGAGCCUCCUUUGCGUAGUAACAUUUCGUCUCGCACUGGGAUCCGGAGGGACUCUUGCCGUAAAACCCCCCAAUUUUCCAAAGGUUGACCUCGGAUCAGGUAGGAAUACCCGCUGAACUUAA
rnacentral:rRNA from 1 species